rnacentral:rRNA from 1 species
CGUGUAGGCGGAUGCGUAAGUCCGGUGUAAAAGCCCCCGGCUCAACCGGGGAAAGCCAUCGGAUACUGUGUGUCUCGAGUGCGGGAAGGGAGAGUGGAACUCUUGGUGGAGCGGUGAAAUGCGUAGAUAUCAAGAGGAACGCCGGUGGCGAAAGCGGCUCUCUGGCCCGUUACUGACGCUGAGGCGCGAAAGCUAGGGGAGCAAACGGGAUUAGAUACCCCGGUAGUCCUAGCCCUAAACGAUGGGUACUAAGUAGGGGCGACUCCGAUGUUGUCUCUGCUGUAGCCAAUGUGCUAAGUACCCCGCCUGGGGAGUACGGUCGCAAGGCUGAA